rnacentral:rRNA from 1 species
AUUGAACGCUGGCGGCAUGCCUUACACAUGCAAGUCGAACGGCAGCACGGGAGCAAUCCUGGUGGCGAGUGGCGAACGGGUGAGUAAUAUAUCGGAACGUGCCCAGUCGUGGGGGAUAACGCAGCGAAAGCUGUGCUAAUACCGCAUACGAUCUAAGGAUGAAAGCGGGGGAUCGCAAGACCUCGCGCGAUUGGAGCGGCCGAUAUCAGAUUAGCUAGUUGGUGGGGUAAAGGCCCACCAAGGCGACGAUCUGUAGCUGGUCUGAGAGGACGACCAGCCACACUGGAACUGAGACACGGUCCAGACUCCUACGGGAGGCAGCAGUGGGGAAUUUUGGACAAUGGGCGCAAGCCUGAUCCAGCAAUGCCGCGUGCAGGAUGAAGGCCUUCGGGUCGUAAACUGCUUUUGUACGGAACGAAACGGCCCUUUCUAAUACAGGGGGCUAAUGACGGUACCGUAAGAAUAAGCACCGGCUAACUACGUGCCAGCCGCCGCGGUAAGAC